UACAGAGGUCUCAAGCGUUGUUCGGAUUCAUUGGGCGUAAAGGGUGCGUAGGCGGCGCGGUAAGUCGGGUGUGAAAUCUCGGAGCUUGACUCCGAAACUGCAUUCGAUACUGCCGUGCUUGAGGACUGGAGAGGAGACUGGAAUUUACGGUGUAGCGGUGAAAUGCGUAGAUAUCGUAAGGAAGACCAGUGGCGAAGGCGGGUCUCUGGGCCGGUAUUGACGCUGAGGCGCGAAAGCUAGGGGAGCAAACGGG
rnacentral:rRNA from 1 species